rnacentral:rRNA from 1 species
GAUGAACGCUGGCGGCGUGCCUAAUACAUGCAAGUCGAGCGAACAGACGAGGAGCUUGCUCCUCUGACGUUAGCGGCGGACGGGUGAGUAACACGUGGAUAACCUACCUAUAAGACUGGGAUAACUUCGGGAAACCGGAGCUAAUACCGGAUAAUAUAUUGAACCGCAUGGUUCAAUAGUGGAAGACGGUUUUGCUGUCACUUAUAGAUGGAUCCGCGCCGCAUUAGCUAGUUGGUAAGGUAACGGCUUACCAAGGCAACGAUGCGUAGCCGACCUGAGAGGGUGAUCGGCCACACUGGAACUGAGACACGGUCCAGACUCCUACGGGAGGCAGCAGUAGGGAAUCUUCCGCAAAGGGCGAAAGCUUGACGGAGCAACGCCGCGUGAGUGAUGAAGGUCUUCGGAUCGUAAAACUCUGUUAUUAGGGAAGAACAAAUGUGUAAGUAACUAUGCACGUCUUGACGGUACCUAAUCAGAAAGCCACGGCUAACUACGUG